rnacentral:rRNA from 1 species
UACGUAGGUGGCAAGCGUUGUCCGGAAUUAUUGGGCGUAAAGCGCGCGCAGGCGGUCUCUUAAGUCUGAUGUGAAAUCUCGCGGCUCAACCGUGAGCGGGCAUUGGAAACUGGGAGACUUGAGUGCAGAAGAGAAGAGCGGAAUUCCACGUGUAGCGGUGAAAUGCGUAGAGAUGUGGAGGAACACCAGUGGCGAAGGCGGCUCUUUGGUCUGUAACUGACGCUGAGGCGCGAAAGCUAGGGGAGCGAACGGG